rnacentral:misc_RNA from 1 species
AACGCACGAGACCUGCGGACCUGCGGAGGGAUCAUUAUUGAAUUUUAUCAAAGAAAAAUGUUGUGCUUUCUCUUGAAAGGGGGAAUAGUGCAAUGUUUUUCUUUUCCAAACAAACGAUCACAACUAACAAGGAAAUUGGUUUGGGUGAUUUGGAAACAAGUGUUUGCCUGAUAAUCAAGAUGAUUUGGAUUGGAGAAAGAAAUACAACUUUUAGCAAUGGAUCUCUAGAUCGGAAGAGCA